CCUACGGGAGGCAGCAGUGAGGAAUAUUGGUCAAUGGUCGGGAGACUGAACCAGCCAAGCCGCGUGAGGGAUGAAGGUACAGAGUAUCGUAAACCUCUUUUGUCAGGGAACAAAGGCGGGGACGUGUCCCCGGAUGAGUGUACCUGAAGAAAAAGCAUCGGCUAACUCCGUGCCAGCAGCCGCGGUAAUACGGAGGAUGCGAGCGUUAUCCGGAUUUAUUGGGUUUAAAGGGUGCGCAGGCGGUCUGUUAAGUAAGCGGUCAAAGCCCGGGGCUCAACCCCGGCCCGCCGUUGAAACUGGCAGUCUUGAGUUGGCGAGAAGUAUGCGGAAUGCGCGGUGUAGCGGUGAAAUGCAUAGAUAUCGCGCAGAACUCCGAUUGCGAAGGCAGCAUGCCGGCUCCACACUGACGCUGAGGCACGAAAGCGUGGGUAUCGAACAGGAUUAGAUACCCCAGUAGUC
rnacentral:rRNA from 1 species